GUCAAUCACAAGAAGCACAGCUCCAAGAUACUUAGGAGGAGCUCCAGUUCGCCAUUAGCCUCCAAAAAAAGAGAGACCAAGACGAGUUGGUGCAUAAGUUUGGUGUUCAUCCAAUGAAAACCGAGCCACUGUGCAUAUAUAUCUUCCACCAUCUCCCAGGAAGAAAGUCAUAUCUACUGUUGUUAUAAGUCCCUUUGAUCUCUCUCUCUCUCUCCAGAUCUCAACCCUGUGUCAUCUCCUUCAUCUUCUUCUCCUUCCUCCCUUUCAGUCUCUGAAGUUGAUUCUCAAGAAGUUCCACGCUUUUUCUUGAGCUCGCGGCUGUUCUCUUCUUGAUUCGCUUCUGUUCUUUCUUUUCCCUUUUGCCCCCAUUCCUAGAUCAGCUGCCAGCAUCACUUUUUGAUUAUCACUUGAACAACCCAGAAAUCGUUUUUUCUCUUAUCGGCCAGGAACUGAGCAAAGCCAACAUUUUGAAAUUUUCUUUUCUUCUUUUUGACCUGAGGAUCUAUGAACUCUGGGAAGCUGCCCCAAUCCUGAUGCAGCCAGUUGAUGUUGUGUAGUUGUUCUCCAACACUGAAAUCCGCAUCACCCGACUCUUUCUUUCUCGCUCAGAUUCUCUUCCUCAAAUUUUCCAAAAGAAAGCCGAAGUUUCGAUUUUUCUUUUAGCAGGCAGGACUCAGGAGAGAUGGGGUUCAUCUUCUUUUCUCUUCUCUUCCCGUCCUCCCCUAAUACUGGUUUCUGUACAUUUUGAUGGAGCAUCCGGGGGGGUGCUUAUGGAUCGACAGUCGUUGUUUGCGGGCGUAGCAUCAUCAAGAUUCACAUGCAGUUUUUGCAUCUUCCUCUCGGGGUAAGAUCACUGAAGAAUUUCUCUUGAAUUCAUGAUAAAAAUCGCAAAAGAAAGUUCCCCUGGAAGUGUGAGAAUCUUGAUGAUGCUGCAUCAGCAAUGAAACGACUCUUGUCAAGUAUAACACGAAGCACUGGCUCGCUCACGCCUCCCCAUUUCCCAUUUUAGGCCUUAACGAGGAGAAACUAACACUUGCCUUUAUUCAUCUGUACCGUAAACAUAUUUUAAUGCCCAUAGAGAAUCUGGGUAUGGAUCUAUCCGCACUGUGCUAAUUUUUUUCUACUGUUUGGUCUUGUACUUGGAGGAGGAAACCCUAAGAUUCUAUAGGCUUUUUUUUGGGGCAACUUGGGGGCUAUUCUCUGACAUUUUGCCAGAUUUAUUUUUGCUCUUCUGAGGAAAGAAGAGCUUUCAGUGGGAAAAUGGUAACUUCUCCAGCAGUUUUCCAUGACUUUUUCAUUGUUAUUGUCCUUAUUAGAUCUUGAAAGUGUCCCUGAAUAGUAGUUUCUUGAAAUGAAUGCAGGAAGCACAGUUUUGGCUGCAACUAAAGGGAGAAAAUUCAUUGUGACGUGUGCAGCAUUGUGAUUCAGGCAAUAACAUUGUUGAAAGAGGCCGAUCCAAAAGUUGGGAAGAGAGGUGAUAUGAAUACAGCUGUCUGAUUGGGGGCUUCUGGAAUGAGCUGAAACUAGCGAAGUUCAAUGGAAGUUUGCUUUGUGAUCUCUCUACAUCACACCUUCAAGUACGGUAAGUACCACUUCCAACGCAUGCGAAUCCAUUAGCUGCGCCUUCUAUUGAUAGUCGGGACAAAUUUUCGCACCUAACAAGCAGGGCUGGUCGCGUGAAAAUCCCGCCUUCCAAAUAGAAGUUAUCACUAGGAUGAAACUAGCGAAAUGUGCAUGUAGGUCAAUUGGACGAACUCGCGUUGCAAUGGAGGAAUCGUGAGGCGAACCUAAUCGAAAGGGAAAGAAUCCUCAAUGCAGUUUUUCACUUGGGGUCAAAGGUUUUAAACCUUGAUGUAGUUUCAGGGGUAUGCAUAUAUGGAAGGUGCACAGUUCUAUAUAUGUAACAUAUACAAUGCAAAUCAAGUGGGGAAAAGAAUGUCAUGUGAUCGCUGACAGCAACGUUGGUUGCUCGUCCUGAGAAGAAUUCAUCAUCCAUCACUCUCUUAAGUGGACCAACCAACCCACAAAUUGGGCAUCUCAAUACAUAUGGACCCUCAUUGACACGCUCGGUCCAGACCUCAGCUCCACCAGUUUUGCCUCUCCUCAAUAAUAGUACUCAAAAGCGUUUAAAGUUUCUUUCCCAAUGUCUUUACGUUGUUCAGAGAGUUAUCCUGCUGUGACAAUGGCGACUCGGUUCAGUUGAAGAGAUCAUGGAUAUCCGUGUGGCUCCAUCGUUAUCCAACUACCAUUUUAAGAUGC